ACAAGAUGCACGUGAGUGUUGGCACCAUCAGAUCUGCUUCGGAUCCCUGGGCAUCGGAAGGAUCCAGAGUACUGGCAGCAGGAACUUACGUCUGCCAGCCCUGUGUCUUGGAUACCUGAGGACACCUGCAGUGAUGCUGGAUCCAGAGUUUCAGAGCUGGGGAGCAGCUACACACUUUUCCCUUGGAGAUUGUGUCAGGGCGCUGGAAGUGGGGGCUGAGGCUGGACUGUUCGAGGUGAGG